rnacentral:rRNA from 1 species
GAUGAACGCUGGCGGCGUGCCUAAUACAUGCAAGUCGAGCGAGCAGACGAGGAGCUUGCUCCUUUGACGUUAGCGGCGGACGGGUGAGUAACACGUAGGUAACCUACCUAUAAGACUGGGAUAACUUCGGGAAACCGGAGCUAAUACCGGAUAAUAUUUCGAACCGCAUGGUUCGAUAGUGAAAGAUGGCUUUGCUAUCACUUAUAGAUGGACCUGCGCCGUAUUAGCUAGUUGGUAAGGUAACGGCUUACCAAGGCAACGAUACGUAGCCGACCUGAGAGGGUGAUCGGCCACACUGGAACUGAGACACGGUCCAGACUCCUACGGGAGGCAGCAGUAGGGAAUCUUCCGCAAAGGGCGAAAGCCUGACGGAGCAACGCCGCGUGAGUGAUGAAGGUCUUCGGAUCGUAAAACUCUGUUAUUAGGGAAGAACAAACGUGUAAGUAACUGUGCACGUCUUGACGGUACCUAAUCAGAAAGCCACGGCUAACUACGUG